UACGUAGGUGGCAAGCGUUGUCCGGAUUUACUGGGCGUAAAGGAUGCGUAGGCGGACAUUUAAGUCAGAUGUGAAAUACCCGAGCUUAACUUGGGUGCUGCAUUUGAAACUGGGUGUCUAGAGUGCAGGAGAGGUAAGUGGAAUUCCUAGUGUAGCGGUGAAAUGCGUAGAGAUUAGGAAGAACACCAGUGGCGAAGGCGACUUACUGGACUGUAACUGACGCUGAGGCAUGAAAGCGUGGGGAGCAAACAGGAUUAGAUACCCCCGUA
rnacentral:rRNA from 1 species